UCUAGGACUGCUCAUUUGAUAAAGGUAGCUCUUGGCUCUGAGAUGUUGACAUGCUUAGAAUAGGAAGUGAAAAACAAAUCAAGAUCCAUGUAACAUAUCAUCCUUAUCACAAUGUAUGGGAAAAUUGAUCUAAAAAAGCCUUGGUCUUGUAAAAUGUUAAGUGAAGAAAAAUACCAUCACUGGGUAAGUUAUAUUUGUUACAUAAACCAACUGAGAGGUGAGUGUCUAGAGCUUAUUAUACUAUUUUGUCUAUUUUUAUAUGACAUUAAAAUAAUUUAAAAAUUAAAAGAGUACGUGACUUUCAGUAACAAUGAUGACUUGAAUACAGUCUUUAAUUGCCACCUCUUCUCCAGAUUCUCACUGAACUGAGGAGAGAUAUAGAAAAAUACAGGAAAGUCUAUUUAGUCUGUAAACCAGAAAAGUGAAAAGUACAAGCAAGGAAGUCCUGCAGUAUGUGAAGCAGACUCUGACAAUGCCUUUGUCAGAAGUGCAGGGAUAUAUGAUGAAAAUGGCCCACACUGUAGGUGGUUAUAUAUUUGAGGAAUAACUUCAAGUUUACUAAUAUGACUGAGAAAAACAUAGACAAAAGUUCAAGAAUGUUUAAAUAUGUUCACUCACAUUAUGUGCCAAUUUAAAAUAAAACUUAAAAAAUGCUUACUCCUUGCUUUCCGUACUCAUGGGGUAAUAGUCUUGCUAUGAGGGGGACCAUUUAACUUACAGAGAAAGUGGCACAGCUGGCUGUUCCCAACACAUUUGACAGGACCUUCUUAAGCAAAGAUGUCUUGCUCCUUACUGAGAAAGCCUUUAGAUGGAGCACUUCUUCCAUAGUCUAUCUCAUAGGCUACCAUGAUGUCCAAACUGGCAAAGUAAAGCCACAAUAAAUAAAAUUUCUCUUCUUCCUUUAGCUCCCCCUAAAAGAUUCUACCAUAGAUGCACACACACUUUGGAGAACUCGUCUCAAUUCAUAAACACUGAAUGCAUAGAUCGGCCACUGUAAAGAUGUUCAAAUAGAAGAAAAUCACUAGGAUGAGAAAUACUUCAGUAAUUCAAAAUAAGAGAAUCAGUUUAAAGAAUGAAAAGCAACCAUUCUUUGAAAUGAUGUUUCUGCGAGACAAAAAGUAAGAUGUUAGAAAACCUUUAUUUUCAAUAAGACACAGAGUAUAUUGCUGCUAUGAAACUAAAGGAAGACAGGGACAAAAGGGAAAUUAUGACAUCAGGAAAAGAUUGCAGUAAAAGAGAAAACAUGAUUGCAAAAUUUGCAAUCAUGCAAUGUUAUGAAGACAACCAAAGCAAGGCAAGUACAGAGAAUAAUAAUAGGUGGCCCAGAGAUGGCAGCUCUGGGAAGGCAACAUUUGGGCAGAUAACUCAAUAACAUAAGAGGGUGAACUGCGUGAAGAGCAUAUGAGCAGAGUUUAGCAAGUUCAAAGACCAUGAGGUUAGAAAAAGUAUAUGUAUAUUCAAGUAGGUAUAGUGGAAUGACCAAGGGUAGAAUGCUAGAAGAUGAAAUCAGAUAGUCAAAGGCAGAUGAUUUAAAUUAUAGAGGAUUACAUAGGAAGUUUGUGUUUCUCAAAAGAGUGACAGGAAGUCACUGGAGGGCUUUAAGCAGGAGAAGGACAUAGUUUAUAUUUUAAAGCAAUGAUGUUGGAAGUAGGAAAAUAUACAUGUAUCUAUUCUUUUUUUUUCACUUUCAGAAAUAGAAUUGAAAGUAUAAAUCAGAACGAAAGAAAUUGCUUCCCUAGAACAAAUCCAUUGACUGAGAUAUGCAGUGAAAGGAAUCCAAGCUGGCUGGGAAGAAAAUCACUUGGCCCCCCGAGAUAAAUGUGGUCAAGGAAUCCUGACUGACAACGUCAGCAAAAGCAGAAAGAUUUCGUUGCAGUUUCGGUAAAAACUUCCCUCAUCAAAUGAACUGAAAAAUAAUCCUUUCUCCAGCAUUUUCAGGAAGAGUUUGUGAAGGUUUGAUAUAUCUUCUGCAAAUAUCUGACAGAAUUCACCAACAAAGAUUGUAUUGUAUUCAAGCAUCUAAUCUGGAGAUUAAAAUAUAAUAACCUGCAGCACAAAGUCACCUUGAGCUUUGUAUGGAAAAAAAAUUCUAUGAUGUUUCUCCUCAGAUAAGUGAGGCGAUAUAAAAUAGAGACUAAGUUGGAAUGAUUACCUCACCCUCUACCUCCUGGCACCAACAUUUUGGUAAACUUUAUAAAUUUUAUCUAGUUUCCCUCACCUAAGUUUUGUGUGUACUUAGGCAUAGAAGGUAAACUAUACCACACACUCACUAGACUGAUGGAAAAGAAGAAUUUCCAUGAGAUGGGAAAUUUCAAAUACUCUUGGUCAAGAAAUAUAUAUAAACUUCUGUCACCUUCGUCACUUAUUUGAUGACCCAUCAUGGAAUAUUGGCUAGAGUAAAUUAUUGUGGUUUGUUUGGGAUGUUCUAACAGACACAAAAUUCACCUUGUGGGAUCCUGGUGGGGGAACACCCUAAAGAAAUAAACAGCAAUUCUUGAGAGAUUUCAAGAACUGAGU
rnacentral:lncRNA from 10 species